UUAUAGAUAAAUCAUUCCUUGAUGCAGGGAUAAAUAUAUAGAACACAAAAGGAUAACGGAGCUGCUUAGGUUCUAAGCACAUCUCGAUUGGAAAGAUCACACCUUUUUCGACAGGGUCGGAAGGCUGGAAGUACUUAGCAGGCUAUCCAUCCCACUCAAGGACAAAGGAAGUUGUAAGAAACCUUUGGAUAAUAACAGACAUGCAGUGAAGAUUCCUGUGAGAUUCCGGAUUGGGAGGAGGUGAGGCUCAGGGGUGUUGAUACCUCUGCAGGGACCAUCGCGCACAGGAGUCACAGGCAGACCAGCAAGCUCGGCCUGGAGCUCCCAGCUUAAGACAGUGAAGGCUGUGUGCAAAGCAGUGUAUAUUUUUUCUGUCCUGCACUCCCACUGACUAUAUUAUGCUCAUGGGGCUCUUCAAGUGGAGGAGACACGCAGCUAUGCUCACGGAUGGCAGGUCGGCCUAUAAAGCCAAGGUAGUGAGCAGGCAUUUGGGAGAAAAGAUUUUAAAAUUAGUGUCAGAUGUGGAAUUGUUACGCUGAAGUACAACAUCUCCACUUAGAUGUCAAUUCCAUUCACACUUCUACUUCUCAAAAUCCCACCAUUUAAGAAAUCUAUGAACACAAAUCUUAAAAACCUAAAGUCAUGGCCACAAAGCACACAUGUAAAACAAUGAACCUGUAUCGCUUUUAAAAUUUCACAAAUAUUUAUGUAGUACUUAUUAUGUGCCAGGUGCAAUUCUAGGUCAUUAUUAAGUAUUAAGGAGAAAGAAAAGCAGAAAUUGAGAACGGGUGUCCUUUCCCAAAGACAAUGGAGAGCAAUAAAAAAAAAAUGCCUUAAGAGCAUGUAUUUGCCUUAUGUAUUAAUUGGUAUCACACCUCUGGAAGAUAAGAAACACCUAGUCAUUAGUUGCCGCCCCCUUUCAGAUUUUCUGCUUGAGGUACAGCAAUCCAUAGUGAAACCUACUGCAGUCAGUGCUGAUUGAUGCUCAUGCAUGGAUUCAUAGGGUGCCCAGAUACACGGGUGGAGAGGGGGUACUGUCUCUUUCCUCUCUCCUCUCUGGUUCCCACUUACUUCCAGAGCUGCAGAUCCAAGCAGGAUGUGAGUGGCACAGUGGUGAAGAAGCCACACCACAGGAUUAGGAGUCUGGAGAAGUGGUUUCUAGUACUGUUCCUGCCACAAAUCUGCUAAGAACUCUUCAAGGAGUUCUGGUGUACCACGAGCUCUGCGGUACGAGGAGUGUGUCCCAAACAGAUUGGGAGCUUACCCACAUCAGCUAACUCUUUCUCAUUCAUAUUUGUAUCUCUAGUAACAAAGGAAGAAAGGGCAGGCACAAUUUCUCACACAGGGUAAAAUUUCCUCCUUCCUUUUUUCACCCUGCUUUCUUGAUGUAGAACCAGCUUUGUCUUCCAAGGGCGGAUAAUUCCCUGUGUUGUGACAACUAAUUCUUUUUAUUGUUAGAGAAAUCAAUGCAAAUAUAUCAUCAGCCUGUGGCACCAUGACUAACACCCCCAUUUAAAUAUGGUGAUUGAAACUUUUUUCAACAUUCUGUUAAGUAAUUUUCCUAAAAUGACCUCCACUUCUUAAAAGUGGCAAAUAGAUUUUGUCAGCGGGUAUUUUAGUCAUUUCAUAGUUGAAAUCACUUCUGAUACUUGCUAAUUGUACGAAAACAUAUUUGGUACUCUGUUAACUGCCAGCAACUGAUUGGCUCUGGAGAGUAGGAUCUGAAAGUACUAAGUACUGUCAAAGGUAGAAAAGUUUUUGAAGUCUUGCAGGUAAAAGAUGCAAAGUAUCAGCGAAAAGAGAAAAACCUUUUCUGAUAGGAAUCUACAGUGAGAAUGUUCAGGGUACUGUUUUAGGGACAUCCAUGUUGAUGAGUUAUCAUUAAAUGCCGCCAUCCCCGGCUGGCUAUGGGAACGUAGGCCAGCUACUUCACCCCAGAGCCUCAGUUGUUUUACCUAGAAACCGAAUCUAGGCUGAGAUGGGCUGCUUGGGCUCUGCAACUCUCCAGUGUCAAGAUCUUGAAAAUGGUACUCAAGUAACCUGAAGGAUUGCAAAAAUCACGAAUCUUCUCUUCAAAGGAAUAAUUGAGCAUGUCUGAACCGCAACCUGAACUCAGAUUUUCUACAACAUCUAUUUGUUUCGUGCGGGUCAACUGUAAGAUUGUUCAAAAUUUUGUCGUGGCUUAAAAAAUACCCUACUGCAUUUACGGAAGAAAAUGUUGGUAGACAUAUUGGUCAUUGAGAAGAAUUGCCAACAAUGAGAAACGGGACCAUUUUUACCCCUCCAGAGGUAGGUGAUUAUAAAUUGCAUAAAGGCCUACUAAUAACCUUGUUUUCUCUUCUGACUUUCAAUGUCUUUUGGUGCUUUAUUUCCCUCACUGAAAAUUUCUCAUCCAGGCAAAUUAUUUUUUCUUGCCAGAUAAGGAAAUUUGACCCAAGUCGUUGUAAAAUGUGCAUUUCUCACUAAAUAGUCCCUGUAAUAUUGUAAAUUUAUAUAACUAUAUAUCAAAAAUUGUAGAU